UUUCGGCCACAUCACGUUGAAAUACCAGUUCUCGGACGAAUACUAAAGUUAAACAACGUCGAGCCAGGUCAGUAGCUUGAUGGGUGACCGCUUGGAAAUAUCAAGUGCUGUAA